AUGGCAGCGCUCCACCUUCUGUUCCUCCUUUUCCUUGCUGUCGCCGCUAGCAGCAACAACGCUGACCAGCCGCUGACGCAGCAGGAGGUCUGCAUGGCGUCGUCUUCUUCCUCGUGCCCGGACGACGUGGAACCGAACAAGGAGGAGGCCACCGUGAGUUUCAGACACUAUGCUCGCACCAUCAAUGUCGACCUCGUACUCCCUGCUAGCAACAGGGCAGUCGCCGCUGGGGACGAGGACCUGCAGCUGCGGCAGGAGGCCAUGGCGAAGGCCAUUACGGUGCUCUCCCGCCACAGCACAGAGACCACCGACGCCGAGACGCUCAAGCGGCCCAUCUUUAGGGCCGUCAACAGGGUGCUGGAGAGUGGCGCCGAUGACCGCACCAAGGAGGAGGCGUUCGCCGCGGCCAAGGUGCAGCUCAACAGCGAGCUCGGCCAAGAAGAAAAAAUAGAUGGAAUAAAAUCUCAGCCAUCAACGUGGUCUCCUACAUCUUUUCCUGGGAAAGAGCUAAAGAAAAAUGAGAAGGCGUGGAAGGAUUACGAGGGCAGCACGGGACACUCCGAGAUGGUGUUCAACAACAUGGAAGCUUGGGCCAGUGUCAAGGAUCUCCCCCUUAAUAAAAGAACUGAUGAUUCUCUUGGUGAUUGGCUGGGAGAGAUAGUGAAAGUGGAUUUAGUCAUGUGA
rnacentral:rRNA from 1 species